rnacentral:tRNA from 1 species
GUUUUAAUAAUUUAAAAAAAAUUUUGAUCUUGUAAAUCAAACCUAAGGAAAAUUAACCUUUUAAAACU